UGCUCGCGGCCGCGCCCGCCUCGCCCCGUGGCCCGUGCCGCGCCGGCCAGACCCCUACAAGCUGCUACCCUUCCGCUUCCCCGUCGCUCUCGCUGGCCCUCUUUCCUUCCCGGUCAGCUUCCCCUCCGCCCAGGCCGUCCUCGUCUGCGGGAAUCCAGCUCCAGCUCCGUGGCCGUGGCCGUGGCGGCCGUGCCGGUUCCACGACGACUCCGACAUCCUCCUCUCCCUCCCGCUGCUCGCGCACGGCGACGCGCCGGUGCCGGCGCCGCCUCCCUUCCGGUGGCCGACCAGCCGCACGCCUCGCUUCAGCCUCAGCGUCAAGAAGCCGGUUUGUGAUAUUGUCAAGAAGCAGCUUGCACUUGCUGAUGGCACUGAAGUUUGUGGCUACUCCAAGUUCCAAGAUCUUGGUGCUGAAGCAGCUUGCACUUGCACUUGCCGACGAUCUCUGGAGCAUCUUUGGGCAAUUCAUAGCUCCAAAUAGUUGAAGAUGUUGAGGUCCGAGAGGCUUCAGCGGUGGCGGAAGGAAGAGGAGGAUUCCGAUGAAGAUGAUGUCGUCUUCCUUGGUGCUAUGCUUGCGGCAUUAAAGUAGUUCAACAAAGUAUUAUUUCUUAUUUGAGAUGGCUGAAUUUGGUCUGCAAGCUGUUUUGUAUCUGACCCUGAAGCAGCAAACUAGUGCAUCUAAAUUAAUUUGCCGUCUAUUUUUAUCAAACCUUGGUUGGACUCCAACUUGUUCAUGCAAUUCUUUUCAAUUUUGAGUGCUGGUGUAGUGGCACCAGAUUUGAUGUUCCUUUUCAUUCUGGAGGAAAGAAGAUAAUGCCGUUUCUUGUUUUCAUUCUGCAUCAGUAGUGAACACUUGCUAAUAGUCAAACGAAAAUAGUGCAUUCAGCUAUGGAUGGUUCUUCCUAUUCUACUUUGUAACACUUUCACUAGCUGUGAUUGUUUUUUAUGGUGUACUUGUUCCAUGGAGUAGCAAAUCUGCUCAUAACAUUGUAUUGUCUCUGGAGUUUCACAUUGCCUUCUGCAUAUACGAGGAACUAGAAAUUAACAGAUGAUUUAUCUACUAUCAAUUCAAGACAGAAGUCAGAACCAAAUGGUUACAACUCCAGUUCUCUUUGCCAACAUCUUUUCCGGAGCCAAAGAUGAGAAAGGGCAAGCACAAGGGGAAGGGAAAACAGAAGGGAGGCAGAAGAAAGAGGCGUUGAGGAAAACACUUUUGUGACCAGUUUUGUAUUAAGAUAGAUGAAUAAAACUUUAGAUGACACCUUGUAAUCAUUCUGGCAUUAAGAUAUUUGUACCUUGUUCUGCUAGAAUCUUGGAAGCAAUAUUUUGGGCUACAAUUGUUCUGCUGGAAUGAAACUUUAUAUUUGUACCUGAUACGAUUCUGGCAUUAAUAAAAUGAUUGUUUGUAUAUUA